UUUGAAUUUGAAUGGUAACAAUUCCGUUAAAUCCUCGUCCUCGUUUUGAACGUCUCACUCAUGGACGAUCAGUGUGUUCUUUCUGAUUAGCUCUUAAUUGAGAUCACCUGUCACGCACCCCUUUAUUAAAGGAGAAUACAAUGGGUUUGGUUUACUUUUCGCAUCGGCCUGUGUCAAUCGAGGUUGAGUUUAGUGAGGAUUGAAAGUUUUCGAUCUAGAUUGCAGAUCACUAUUGUCACUUUAUACAAACUGAAAGUAUGCGUUGUUGCGUGUUUGUUUUUGUGGGCAUUUGACUGAACAGCCCAGACAAAUAUUGCUACCAACAUGGCACUUCGAAACAGACCACCGCAGUGUUAGAUGACUGACAAGAUCUAUGGGGGGGCCCCCUUUGGGCCCCCCCAUACCAACUUAGUCUUCAAAAGAAUCUAGUGCCAUGGGACUCCAGUGUCUUCAAAACAUCCUCGGAAUACAUGUGUAUGAAUGGUCCACCGAAGGGUUGAUCUGGAAGCCACCACGGUCCACGCAGUAAUCUGCUGCGUGGGCCGUAGUGGCUUCCAGAGCCAUCUUUCGGUCUUGGUCAGGAUUUGUUACAGUUGCCAAUGUGUUCAAUGUAGCAGGCUACGGGUUUCUGAAGAAGCCUGCUUUACGUAGCAUUGGAGUACAAAUAUUGUGCAAAAUGCUCAUGUAAUUGCACUAGCAACCUGUAGAUUAGCUUAGUUUAACGUCAUUCCGUGCUGUCUCUGUCAAAUGUGUGGCUUACUUUAAGUCCACAAGGCCCUCUGGUAAACCACGUUGGAACACCCCUGGACAAGGUGAUUAGUCACUGGGUGUGUGCUAAAGUUUUGUUCCAUUUUUCACUAGUUGGUUAAGGUUUGGUAGAAUUGUUUGGAUGCUAGCGACGUGAUGGCGCAUGUACAAGAGCCUACCGUGGCCAGGCCACAGUUGCGACGGCCACGGCCAGAUGGCCUAGUGUGAGUGCAACCUUGAUUGCAUUUGUAUACUGUUUACCAUUGGAUGUUUAUGCAAUUUGGCUUAAUUCAUCCGCAGUAAAGCUGCAUUUGACUAUUCCAGGGUCGUUUUGUACAGGCUUUCAAUUGACCAUGUUGACUAGUUUGUGGGAAUUUUUUUUUUCUUUUUUUUUUACCCUUGCUUACAAUCCAACGGUUGUGACCACUUAUGCAACUGGGCUGUGAACCUUGCAAUUCUAGUUGAUUAUUUGUACACGCAAGCUUGUCCAUUUCUAUCGCCAUCACUAACACUAGCUUCAGCAUUUCCUUGUAGGCCAUUAGCUGACUUGUGUAUUGGAGCGAUGAUUUAGGUAUUUUAAGAUGCCUGAAAACCUAAAAUAAAGCAAAAUGCGUGUCUGGUGUGCAAGAGCCAAUUUGUUGGCUUGCAGUAGUCGAGGAGUUGCCGUAGGUCGUAAGCCAUCUGGAGGUUGUGGCAAUGGAGGCUUGUGGUAGAUCUGCCAUCCAAGAAAGGUUAAUUCUUCUGAAGCAUGAUUAAUAGUUUAGUCAAUUGAAUCUAUUCAUAUAGAACUAUAAAAUCCAAGACUGCAGCCAGUAACUUGAAUCGCAAUAUGUGGAAAGUAUUAGUCUUCAUUUGCAACAACAGAAUAAUUAACAUGACUAACUGGGUUUCUUCCAUUUUCUAACUAGGGGGACUUGACUGGUGAGUCUACUGGAUUAAUCAGUAGCGGUACUUUGCCCAACAGAUUUGAUGGCAUGACUACAGGGUGACAAAGACAAUUAUUC